rnacentral:rRNA from 1 species
AUUGAACGCUGGCGGAAUGCUUUACACAUGCAAGUCGAACGGUAACAGGUCUUCGGAUGCUGACGAGUGGCGAACGGGUGAGUAAUACAUCGGAACGUGCCCGAUCGUGGGGGAUAACGGAGCGAAAGCUUUGCUAAUACCGCAUACGAUCUACGGAUGAAAGCAGGGGACCGCAAGGCCUUGCGCGGACGGAGCGGCCGAUGGCAGAUUAGGUAGUUGGUGGGAUAAAAGCUUACCAAGCCGACGAUCUGUAGCUGGUCUGAGAGGACGACCAGCCACACUGGGACUGAGACACGGCCCAGACUCCUACGGGAGGCAGCAGUGGGGAAUUUUGGACAAUGGGCGAAAGCCUGAUCCAGCCAUGCCGCGUGCAGGAUGAAGGCCUUCGGGUUGUAAACUGCUUUUGUACGGAACGAAAAGACUCCUUCUAAUAAAGGGGGUUCAUGACGG